rnacentral:pre_miRNA from 1 species
UCUUACGGAUGAUCAAAGAAGGGGGUUUCUUGAAAUGGAAUCCACUGCUAGUGAAGAUGCUAUGAA